GCGAACGUGGCGGAAUUGGUAGACGCACCAGAUUUAGGUUCUGGCGCCGAGAGGUGUGAGAGUUCGAGUCUCUCCGUUCGCACCA
rnacentral:tRNA from 49 species